GACUCUUUUAUUUCUUUUCAACAAAGACAUCGCUAGAGUCAUUUAGUGUAGGUAACACCAACUUGGGUGCAUGAUUUCGUUUGUCCACGGUCAAGGUCAUGGGCUCAUGGCAGGUGAUACCAGCAGAUUGGAUUCAAAAAUCGAAAUGUGCGGGCAAAUCAGGGAUCAGCCGAAGGCGACGAGCCGACGACAUAAAUAAGAAAUAAUUGACAGUCGUAUUUAUUAUUAUUUAGCUUGUGGCAUGCUUGUGGCCUUUGUGGAUUCGUUCUGUUGUGGCUCAGAUGUGAGAUUAUAGUCAGAGUAGUGUGUCAUUAGAUUUUAGUGUCAUUUCAGAUUCUAGUCAGAGAAGUGUGUCGUUAUAUUUUACAUUUCCAAACUACUCGUGCCGUACAGUUAAACAUACUCAUCGGAUACUCAUCGUCAUCGGAAGCCAUAUUAAGGCUAUAAUUGCAAUCAUGCUGAAAUCAUUGAAAUGUGUAGUUCAGUGUUUAGAACACUCUGUUUCUCCAGACAAGAAUGUAUUAGCUGAAGCCCAACUGAAGUUGGAAAAGUGUGCGAAGAAAAAUAUGGGUCAAUUUAUUACCAAUUUGUCCAUUGUAAUUGAAGAUCAAAAAAGUUUACCUGAAGUUCGUCAAGCGGCUUCCCUA